CCCUUAGACGUUCUGGGCCGCACGCGCGCUACACUGACGGAGCCAGCGAGUAUAAACCUUGGCCGAGAGGUCUGGGAAAUCUUGUGAAACUCCGUCGUGCUGGGGAUAGAGCAUUGUAAUUAUCGCUCUUCAACGAGGAAUUCCUAGUAAGCGCAAGUCAUCAGCUUGCGUUGAUUACGUCCCUGCCCUUUGUACACACCGCCCGUCGCUACUACCGAUUGAAUGGCUUAGUGAGGCUUCCGGAUUGGUUUAGAGAAGGGGGCAACUCCAUCUUGGAACCGAGAAGCUAGUCAAACUUGGUCAUUUAGAGGAAGUAAAAGUCGUAACA
rnacentral:rRNA from 1 species